UACUACAGCCAUAUCACCCUGCAGCCCAAGAUUGGUUACCCACUGAAGCUAAGCAGGGUUGAGCUGGUCAGUACCUGGAUGGGAGACCUCCUGGGAAAACUAGGUUGCUGUUGGAA
rnacentral:rRNA from 1 species